rnacentral:rRNA from 1 species
UACGGAGGGUGCAAGCGUUAUCCGGAUUUACUGGGUUUAAAGGGUGCGUAGGCGGCCUGCUGCGUCGGUGCUGAAAGCGCCCGGCUUAACCGGGCGAGGCGUGCCGAUACGAGCGGGCUGGAGCCUUGGCGAGGGUGGGCGGAACGUCCUGGUGUAGUGGUGAAAUGCGUAGAGAUCAGGAAGAACACCCGUGGCGCAAGCGGCCACCUGGCCAAGAGCUGACGCUGAGGCACGAGAGCGUGGGGAGCGAACCGG